AAAUGAAUUGACGGGGGCCCGCACAAGCAGCGGAGCAUGUGGUUUAAUUCGAAGCAACGCGAAGAACCUUACCAAGGCUUGACAUCCCUCGAAUUGCAUUGAAAGGUGCAAGCCCUUCGGGGCGAGGAGACAGGUGGUGCAUGGUUGUCGUCAGCUCGUGUCGUGAGAUGUUGGGUUAAGUCCCGCAACGAGCGCAACCCUUGUCAUCAGUUACCAGCACGUAAAGGUGGGGACUCUGGUGAGACUGCCGGGGACAACUCGGAGGAAGGUGGGGACGACGUCAAAUCAUCAUGCCCCUUAUGUCUUGGGCUACACACGUGCUACAAUGGCCGUAACAAAGAGAAGCGAACUCGCAAGGGGGAGCGGAACUCAAAAAAGCGGUCUCAGUUCGGAUUGUGGGCUGCAACCCGCCCACAUGAAGUCGGAGUUGCUAGUAAUCGCGAAUCAGCAUGUCGCGGUGAAUGCGUUCCCGGGCCUUGUACACACCGCCCGU
rnacentral:rRNA from 1 species